GCGGAUGUGGCGGAAUGGCAGACGCGCUAGACUUAGGAUCUAGUGUCCCAGACGUGCAGGUUCAAGUCCUGUCAUCCGCA
rnacentral:tRNA from 1 species